GUACCCACUUCGGCAGCACACGUACUGAAAUCUGAAGGAUACAGAGCAGAUUAGCAUGGCCCCUGUGCAAGGAUGACACGCAAAUUCGUGAAGUGUUCCCUUUUUUU